CGAAUCGCGGGUUGCUAUUAAGCUUCGGCCGGGACUGGUCUUUUCUCAGGUCCGGACUACUCGUAACUCUCGGGUAGUUGGCCCUGAUUCCCGUUUCCAAGGGGGGAGGAGAUUCUUUUCUCUGCUACGUCUUCUUCCUGCUGAGAUUUCCGGUUGGAGAUCUCAAUCGGAGAAUUCCGUUGAGGAAAGAGGGAUCGCAGAUCGCUGUGGUCCUGAUCGAUUAUCUGAGGUUUGAUUUGUAGAAUUUCCUCCGAGCAUCUCAUAGAAGAUUUCAACCCUAAUCUUGUAACUAAGGAAGGAUGUCCGGCCAAAGCCAGCGACUGAAUGUCGUUCCCACGGUGACGAUGCUUGGGGUGAUGAAGGCGCGCCUCGUGGGCGCUACCCGCGGCCAUGCCCUCCUAAAGAAGAAGAGCGAUGCCCUCACUGUCCAGUUUCGAGCAAUCCUAAAGAAGAUCGUCACUACCAAGGAAUCGAUGGGUGAAAUCAUGCGUGCCUCCUCCUUCGCCCUUACUGAGGCCAAGUACGUAGCUGGUGAGAACAUCAAGCAUGUUGUCCUCGAGUCGGUUAAGUCUGCCUCCCUCCGUGUGCGCUCCCGCCAGGAGAAUAUUGCCGGAGUCAAGCUCCCACGGUUCGAGCACUUCACUGACUCAGGUGCUGGCGAUACCAAGGCUGACCUCACUGGACUUGCCCGUGGAGGCCAGCAGAUCCAGGCUUGCCGUGCUGCACAUAUUAAGGCCAUUGAGGUCCUUGUGGAGCUUGCCUCGCUCCAGACCUCUUUCCUCACCCUUGAUGAAGCCAUUAAGACCACGAACCGGAGAGUCAAUGCCCUUGAGAAUGUCGUCAAGCCGCGCCUGGAGAACACCAUCAACUACAUCCGGGGGGAGCUUGAUGAACUUGAGCGAGAGGACUUCUUCCGGCUGAAGAAGAUACAGGGGUACAAGAAGAGGGAGGUUGAGCGGCAGCUCCAGGCUGCGAAGCAGUUUGCUGAAGAGCAGUUUGCUGAGAAGGUCUCACUCAAGAAGGGUAUCUCCAUUAACUCUGCCCACAACUUGCUUGUUGCUGGGGCUGAGAAGGAUGCGGAUAUUAUCUUUUGAUGUGGGAACAUUCAUUUGGUGAUUAGAUAUGCUCAUACCUCAGCCCCUCCUGCUAUUGGUUACUCAUCAGAUUACGAGGGUAUUGGAGAUAUAAAAUUGCAACAAUGCAAUCAUGGGGCUGACUGUCUAUGCUGAUGGGACACUUCAACUAACUUGUCACAUUGCUAAGCCUAAGAAGAUAGCGUGGAGUCAUUUACCUACCUGUGAUGUCUAAUGACACAAAAAGCUUUUUGGUUGUGCCGGAAAGGCUUGUGGGACUACUUCCUCUUGGCUGCGCCGCCAGUCCGCCGGCCCUUCAGCUCCUCUGGCUCUUGCUCUCGGUAUCUCCGGUCGAAAUCCCAAACCAUUCCUGGAUAGUGAUCCUACCAAAUUAAAAUGUCCAGCGACCGCCAUUUGCCGAAGGGCUUGGUUGGUCACUGGGCAACCUACUUUGGAUGGCUCUACAUGGUAGAAUACUACAUGGUCGAACAUAGCUGAAGGACACGAAAAAGGGAGUUCCUCUCCAAUCCCUCUCUCGCUCGAGAAUCACAAGGAGCCACGACGCCUAGGCAGCAGCUAAACGCGAUUGCCAAGCCAACAAACCUUCUUUCAUGUGAUUCGAUGGCAAUAUUCUUCUACUGAAAAUGGUCAUGGAAACAGAAUAUUCCAAUCGAUAUCUUUUAAAGUAUCACUUUAUGUCAGCAAAGAUAAUAAGGGCCAAUAUUUUUGUUGUGAAUUUUACACAAAAGAUCUAUUUAGCUAUUGAUUUUACAGAAGAAAGAUUGAAUUUUCCGUA